rnacentral:tRNA from 1 species
GGUUCCCUAGUGUAGUGGUUAUCACGUUUGCUUUACACGCAAAAGGUCCCCAGUUCGAUCCUGGGCGGAACCA